AUUGAACGCUGGCGGCAGGCCUAACACAUGCAAGUCGAGCGAGCGGCGGACGGGUGAGUAAUGUAUGGGGAUCUGCCCGAUAGAGGGGGAUAACUACUGGAAACGGUAGCUAAUACCGCAUACCAUCGGAUGUGCCCAGAUGGGAUUAGCUUGUUGGUGGGGUAACGGCGCACCAAGGCGACGAUCCCUAGCUGGUCUGAGAGGAUGACCAGCCACACUGGAACUGAGACACGGUCCAGACUCCUACGGGAGGCAGCAGUGGGGAAUAUUGCACAAUGGUCGAAAGCCUGAUGCAGCCAUGCCGCGUGUAUGAAGAAGGCCUUCGGGUUGUAAAGUACUUUCAGCGGGGAGGCGUUACCCGCAGAGGAAGCACCGGCUAACUACGUGCCAGCAGCCGCGGUAAUAC
rnacentral:rRNA from 1 species